UACGGAGGGGACUAGCGUUGUUCGGAAUUACUGGGCGUAAAGCGCACGUAGGCGGAUUUGUAAGUCAGGGGUGAAAUCCCGGGGCUCAACCUCGGAACUGCCUUUGAUACUGCAAAUCUCGAGUCCGGAAGAGGUGAGUGGAAUUCCUAGUGUAGAGGUGAAAAUUUCGUAGAUAUUAGGAAAGAACACCAGUGGCGAAGGCGGCUCACUGGUCCGGUACUGACGCUGAGGUGCGAAAGCGUGGGGAGCAAACAGG
rnacentral:rRNA from 1 species